rnacentral:lncRNA from 1 species
UUACAGAUCUUGAACUCCAGUUCAAUUCAUAACGUAAAAACCUGAAAAUCAAAGGGUAAUUCUAGUUUAUCUUCCACAGUAGCCAUUUUCUGGAAGUAAGACUUCCAAAUACGUACUAUGGUGUCCUCAAACACUGCCUAACUUUAUUGUAAACACAGUGUUACGUGGAUAUUACCUGAGAGCCACAGGGUUAGCAACAAUAAAGGGGGAAAUGCUGAGUAAGGAAAUAGACCAGUUGUAUCACUUGGAAUUAUGAACUACUUUGUCUUCUCUUUCUUUUUAUCUGCUGUUGAAACAGUUUUGAUGAACUAUUAAACAAUUAUAUGUAAU